GUACCAAAGGGGACGCAUCGGCUGUUCUGGCUCCACUCAGCCUCACUCUGCUACUCACACCAGGGCCAGACUUCCCUGUGGGCCGAGUCUGACAGCCCUAGCCCCGACCGGUCUCCACACAGAGGUCCCUCCCACGUCCUAGCCCUGACUGGUCUCCCCAAGGACAUCCCAGCCCUAAACCGCAGCCAGUCUUUAUGCUGAUGUCCCAAGGAGUCCCAUCGGACUCUAGGACUGAUGCUCAAGGACGACGUCUUCCCAGAGCCUGUAGCUGAUGCCCUGGAUGGGGACGGCUUCCCCGCCAUCACACAUGGGCACUUCUCUGUCUUCAGGGACACCCUGCCCCUUUUCCUGGAUCUCUGUGCAUCCUGUCUGCUAUGUAGUUCUGUGACCCCAACUUCACAAUCAAUAGCUUCUGCAGGAAACCUACCGAGUACGGGAAAUGCCAUGUUAAAGUAAAACCCACACGUAAGCGUAGUCUCCAGUUCACCCUGCAACAGCUCACGGACGCCCCGCUGUGGGUCGUUCUGAUGGUACAGCGAUACUUCCCUCUAAGGCGACUUUCAAUUUCUUUCAAUUUCUGUUCAAUUUCUUAUUAACUACAACAGAGGCAGGAUCUGUAGGGAAGACUUUGCAGCUAAAUGAUGUCAGACAUGAAAUAAGGAAACCAAAGUGGAGGAUGAUUUGACAGCUCACAAGCAAAGUUUGAGCUCUAACCCCUGGUUGCAGCCCCAGCCCUGUGAGGAUUCACGAAUGGCGCUUCUGAUGAAGCCACCCGUGCUUCCCGUGGUGAACACAGGGGCCGUCUGUCAUGUCCCUCCAGUGCUGUUCCUGUCUGUGAGGAGCCAAUGGACAACCAGCUCUUGGGCAGCUCCAUGUCUCAGAUGUCAGAAUAUGAAGACACGACAGAAGGGACCUUUCAGGGAGCCCGACGUGACUUCAAACCCAUUCUGAGACCAGGCUUUGCACACUCGAGCAACCCCGGCUGGAGCGGAGUUAGGCCCAGGGCAGAGUGACCGCUAUGCCCUCCCCCGGGCCCUGCUGACCUGGCGUUUAAUAGACAUUGUCUCCAAGCUCCCAUCAUGAACUGCAUCACACGGAACACCACCCACCUCAGAGGGCUGGACUGGGUGCUGGACCUCGCUGUGCCCCUGAGCAUGUGGCCGGUGGCACCUGUUCUUAGACUGCAGGCCCCGGACCGCCCAGUUGCCACUGUGGAGACAACCUCUGCCCCCCAGACGAAGACCAACCCCAGCCGGGAGGUGUCAGGGCGGACUUAGCAAAGCCUUCUCUCCCAGCCUCUGUGGAAACCGCAGCCGGCGUCCCUUACAGCAGAGGCGCAUGGAGGUGCAGGGGACGGCUCCCAGUCAGUGAGAGCUUCCAGGAGUCCCGUCUGACUGGCGAGGCAGCUGUGUGGACAGCCAGGCAAGUCACCGGGAGGCAGUUAGUGAUUGUUCAGAAAGAAGGUGCCGCGAGGCCCUGGCCGUGAAGGUCAAAAUGAACAUGAGUGUCUGACCGUGGUCUGGCAUCCCCAGCAGCCUCACUGCCCUCCUGCUGAGAGCCUGCGAGAACCUCUGUCCUUCGGCAAUUUGGUGUUGGACCCCACGCCCCUCUCCCUCCAGGGCCCUCAGCCCCACAGACGGUCCAGCCGAGGGGUCUCGUCCGCCUCCCUCGUGUUCUCCCUUUCUCCUCUGAAACUAGGGACGGGCCCUGAAAGUCACUCCCGGCCAAAGCCUGUUUCACAUUUCGUUAUGCGACUCUGCCAAGCGGCAUCGA